CUAAUUUCUUCAGAUGAUGAUCGGCCAGAAAUUCCGUUCGAGGACGAUUUCAGCUCCAAAACGGCUGCACGCUUCGUUGACUGACUGCGUGCAAUCUCCUGACGUGGACGAUGGUGCGUCAUCAUUCGGUGUCAUCGUGUGUGUCAUUGCUCCAGUAUGCGAAUUGCAAAACUUUAUGUGAUAUUACUUAGUGUGACAGCACUUUUUUUAAUAACUAUGUCGAUAUCGUUGCACAAUCUCUAUAUUUUCACAUGAGCAAACAAGCCGAAUCUGUAUACUUCCUGUAUACAUUUACAUACCAUCCACUAUCAGAUUCUUUCACUGAAUAAAACAUUAUUUAUAUCUGAAUUUUAAAAGCCA